GACGAACGCUGGCGGCGUGCUUAACACAUGCAAGUCGAACGGAAAGGCCCCUUUGGGGGUACUCGAGUGGCGAACGGGUGAGUAACACGUGAGUAACCUGCCCUUGACUUCGGGAUAACUUCAGGAAACUGGGGCUAAUACCGGAUAGGAAUCCUUGCUGCAUGGUGGGGGUUGGAAAGCUUCGGCGGUUUUGGAUGGACUCGCGGCUUAUCAGCUUGUUGGUGGGGUAGUGGCUUACCAAGGCUUUGACGGGUAGCCGGCCUGAGAGGGCGACCGGCCACAUUGGGACUGAGAUACGGCCCAGACUCCUACGGGGGGCAGGAGUGGGGAAUAUUGCACAAUGGGCGGAAGCCUGAUGCAGCAACGCCGCGUGCGGGAUGACGGCCUUCGGGUUGUAAAACGCUUUCAGCAGGGGCGAAGCUUGUGGUGACGGUACCUGCAGAAGAAGCACCGGCUAACUACGUG
rnacentral:rRNA from 1 species